GAUGAACGCUAGCUACAGGCUUAACACAUGCAAGUCGAGGGGAAACGGCAUCGAAAGCUUGCUUUUGAUGGGCGUCGACCGGCGCACGGGUGAGUAACGCGUAUCCAACCUGCCCAUCACUUGGGAAUAACCUUGCGAAAGUAAGACUAAUGCCCAAUGACAUCCCACGAAGGCAUCCGAAUGGGAUUAAAGAUUUAUCGGUGAUGGAUGGGGAUGCGUCUGAUUAGCUUGUUGGCGGGGUGACGGCCCACCAAGGCAACGAUCAGUAGGGGUUCUGAGAGGAAGGUCCCCCACAUUGGAACUGAGACACGGUCCAAACUCCUACGGGAGACAGCAGUGAGGAAUAUUGGUCAAUGGGCGAGAGCCUGAACCAGCCAAGUAGCGUGCAGGAUGACGGCCCUAUGGGUUGUAAACUGCUUUUAUAAGGGAAUAAAGUGGGUCACGUGUGACUUUUUGCAUGUACCUUAUGAAUAAGGACCGGCUAAUUCCGUG
rnacentral:rRNA from 1 species